rnacentral:rRNA from 1 species
UACGGAGGGGGCUAGCGUUGUUCGGAAUUACUGGGCGUAAAGCGCACGUAGGCGGCUUUGUAAGUUAGAGGUGAAAGCCUGGGGCUCAACUCCAGAACUGCCUUUAAGACUGCAUCGCUUGAACACGGGAGAGGUGAGUGGAAUUCCGAGUGUAGAGGUGAAAUUCGUAGAUAUUCGGAAGAACACCAGUGGCGAAGGCGGCUCACUGGCUCAUACUGGACGCUGAGGUGCGAAAGCGUGGGGAGCAAACAGG